rnacentral:rRNA from 1 species
GGGGAAUAUUGGACAAUGGGCGCAAGCCUGAUCCAGCCAUGCCGCGCGAGUGAUGAAGGCCUUAGGGUUGUAAUGCUCUUUUAGCAGGGAAGAUAAUGACAGUACCUGCAGAAUAAGCCCCGGCUAACUUCGUGCCAGCAGCCGCGGUAAUACGAAGGGGGCUAGCGUUGUUCGGAAUUACUGGGCGUAAAGCGCACGUAGGCGGAUUGACAAGUCAGGGGUGAAAUCCCGGGGCUCAACCUCGGAACUGCCUUUGAUACUGUCAGUCUAGAGUCCGGAAGAGGUGAGUGGAAUUCCUAGUGUAGAGGUGAAAUUCGCAGAUAUUAGGAAGAACACCAGUGGCGAAGGCGGCUCACUGGUCCGGAACUGACGCUGAGGUGCGAAAGCGUGGGGAGCAAAC